rnacentral:rRNA from 1 species
UACGAAGGGGGCUAGCGUUGCUCGGAAUUACUGGGCGUAAAGGGCGCGUAGGCGGAUAGUUCAGUUGGGGGUGAAAGCCCGGGGCUCAACCUCGGAACUGCCUUCAAUACUGGCUAUCUUGAGUACGGGAGAGGUGAGUGGAAUUCCGAGUGUAGAGGUGAAAUUCGUAGAUAUUCGGAAGAACACCAGUGGCGAAGGCGGCUCACUGGACUGGUAUUGACGCUGAGGUGCGAAAGCGUGGGGAGCAAACAGG